rnacentral:rRNA from 1 species
GACGAACGCUGGCGGCGUGCUUAACACAUGCAAGUCGAACGGAAAAGCCCUGCUUUUGUGGUGUGCUCCGGUGGCGAAAGGGUGACUAAGACGUCCGUCACCUGCCCUUGACUUUAGGAUAACUUCAGGAAACUAGUGCUAAUACCUGAUAGCAUCUCGUGCUGCAUGGGGGGGGUUGGAAAGUUUGGGCGGUUGGGGAUGGACUCGCGGCUUAUCAGCUUGUUGGUGGGGUAGUGGCUUACCAAGGCUUUGACGGGUAGCCGGCCUGAGAGGGUGACCGGCCACACUGGGACUGAGAUACGGCCCAGACUCCUACGGGAGGCAGCAGUGGGGAAUAUUGCACAAUGGGCGGAAGCCUGAUGCAGCAACGCCGCGUGCGGGAUGACGGCCUUCGGGUUGUAAACCGCUUUCGCCAGUGACGAAGCGUGAGUGACGGUAAUGGGUAAAGAAGCACCGGCUAACUACGUG